AGUGAACGCUGGCGGCGUGCCUAAUACAUGCAAGUCGAACGGAAUUUAAAAGAGCUUGCUCUUUUGAAUUUAGUGGCGCACGGGUGAGUAAUAUAUAGCUAAUCUGCCCCUUGCUGGAGGACAACAGUUAGAAAUGACUGCUAAUACUCCAUACUCCUUUUUACCAUAAGAUAAAUCGGGAAAGAAUUUCGGCAAGGGAUGAGACUAUAUCGUAUCAGCUAGUCGGUGGGGUAACGGCCUACCGAGGCUAUGACGCGUAACUGGUCCGAGAGGAUGAUCAGUCACAUUGGAACUGAGACACGGUCCAAACUCCUACGGGAGGCAGCAGUAGGGAAUAUUGCGCAAUGGGGGAAACCCUGACGCAGCAACGCCGCGUGGAGGAUGACACUUUUCGGAGCGUAAACUCCUUUUGUUAGGGAAGAAUAAUGACGGUACCUAACGAAUAAGCACCGGUAA
rnacentral:rRNA from 1 species